rnacentral:lncRNA from 1 species
CUAAAGCUAAAAUCAAUCAUCUAUUACUUCUACAUGUAUAAGUUUUGAUUCUUGUAUUAAAAGAAUUUUAUAAAAUUUAAAAAAUUCUUCAUUGAAAAAGUAAGAAGAUGCAAUUGAAUCUAAUAAGAUAUUUCUUUAAAGUUUUUGUAGGCUAAAAAAUAAAGGAGUAGUAAAACAAAAAGUAUGUUCAAUAGAGAGAAAGAGACCUUAAUGAAUUUGAGGUAUUAGAAUAUCUAGCCACAUGGUUCUUAUUGUAGUUGAGCAUCUUCAUUUUCUUGAGUGAUUGCACUCUUACAUUUGGUUGUAUAUUAUUUCUUCCAAUAAUUUCUAGAUUUGUAGCCUUCUUUACCAUAAUACAAACAUAAGCCUUAUUCAAAUUGAAACUUCUUUUCUUUUGAUGUAGGAAGUUUGAAUUGUACUGCAUCAAUUUACACAUCUUCAACUCUAAAAUAUAGAAGUAAUGUAUUUAUUAAAGUAACAAAGUAAAAAUUUCCAAUACAUUGUUUUGUUAAAGUCUAAAAAUAUUAAUCUUGACUAUAUUGAAAUAAUUAAUUAUUAAAAUUCAUAGCUUGAUUAACAACUCCAUUCAAUAUUUGAAGAUCAACUAAUUAUAAUAAUAGGUCUUUUACAUCAUUCUUUAGUCUCCAAUAGAAUUGGCUUAUAAAAACUUAUUUAUUUCAAUUGAUGUAAUAAAUCAAUUAUCUAAAAUCAGAUGCAUAAACCAAUAUAGAACAUGAUCUUUGACGUAAUAAGUGAAUCUUUGUUAUUGUUCAUCAUGCCUUAUUAUAUUCUCUAAAUGCCUCUACAAAUACUUUUAAAAAAGCUUCAAAUUUGCUCAAGAUUGGAGAUUUUUUUUCAAAUAAAAGAGCAAACUAAA